AUUGAACGCUGGCGGAAGGCCUAACACAUGCAAGUCGAGCGGAGCGGCGGACGGGUGAGUAAUGCCUAGGAAUCUGCCUGGUAGUGGGGGAUAACGUCCGGAAACGGGCGCUAAUACCGAAUACUAUCAGAUGAGUCUAGGUCGGAUUAGAUAGUUGGUUGGGUAAAGGCCUGCCAAGGCGACGAUCCGUAACUGGUAUGAGCGUAUGAUCAGUCACACGUGAACUGAGACACUGUCCAGACUCCUACGGGAGGCAGCAGUGGGGAAUAUUGGACAAUGGGCGAAAGCCUGAUCCAGCCAUGCGGCGUGUGUGAAGAAGGUCUUCGGAUUGUAAAGUACUUUCAGCGGGGAGGCGUUACCCGCAGAAGAAGCACCGACUAACUCCGUGCCAGCAGCCGCGGUAAUAC
rnacentral:rRNA from 1 species